rfam:Myotis lucifugus cont2.22139, whole genome shotgun sequence.
GGAUGUGAGGGCGAUCUGGCUGCGACAUCUGUCACCCCAUUGAUGGCCAGGGUUGAUUUGGCUGAUCUGGCUGGCUAGGCGGGUGUCCCCCUCCUCCCUCACCGAUCCAUGUGCGUCCCUCCCGAAGCUGCACGCUCGGUCGAAGAGGACGACCUCCCCCCCCCCCCCCGAGGAGAGGACCGGUCUUCGGUCAAGGGUAUACGAGUAGCUGCUCUCCCCUGCUAGAACCUCCAAACAAGCUCUCAAAGAACCAGCUCUUGGUUUCAUUGACUUUUUGUAUUGUUGUUUUAGUCUCUAUGUUAUUUAUUUCUGCUCUGUUAUU